AUACGGAGGAUGCAAGCGUUAUCCGGAUUUAUUGGGUUUAAAGGGUGCGUAGGCGGUUUGCUAAGCGGGAGGUGAAAUGCCGGCGCUCAACGUCGGAAGUGCCUCCCGAACUGGUGGACUUGAAUGACUCUGCCGUGGGAGGAAUGUGUAGUGUAGCGGCGAAAUGCUUAGAGAUUACACAGAACACCGAUUGCGAAGGCAUCUCACGAAGGGUUGAUUGACGCUGAGGCACGAAAGCGUGGGGAUCAAACAGGAUUAGAUACCCUGGUAGUCCACGCAGUAAACGAUGAUGGCUAACCGCUGGGCUUAUCAGUUCAGUGGCCAAGCGAAAGCGAUAAGCCAUCCACCUGGGGAGUACGACCGCAAGGUUGAAACUCAAAUGAAUUGGCGGGG
rnacentral:rRNA from 1 species